rnacentral:lncRNA from 1 species
GUUAUAUUGUAAUUAUUAGCAGUGGAAAUAUAUUCAAACGCCUCGCUCAUUUUUUUCGCCAAUGGCGUGGAAGGUGUGUCCAAGGUAUUUUGGCUUUUUCUCUUUUUGUGGUCACGACUUGUUAACCCUAUCUGAUUUACAUCGAUAGUUGACGCGAAUGCUUCCUGUCGAAAAAAGAAGGCUUUCUGAUAUUAUAUUGGGGAUGAGAAAAGGAAUAAAACAGGGCUUGAUAUUUCAAAGAAUAUACAUAUCCUGUUAUACUGUAAGGAGUACAGAGAACAGUGGAAUGUCUGCUGUGUAAUGCUACAACACAUCUUGGACGCGUCCCCGUCUACGGAAUGCUUAUGACUUUACUAAGUUUCUUCAGCCUCGAGAUCUUAAUCUAUUGAUAUGUAAGUCAGAAGAUUUGGAUUUCGGCCAUCUGUUCCAGUAUUUUCGGAAAUAACGUCUUUGACAAUGCCAACGAUCUUGCUAUAGAAAACGGCCAUUCUAUUAACAUUAUAGGAACCAGCUGCCGGUAUCUUCCAGACUUUAUAGAAAUAAAUCCAUUUUAUUGCUGCCGUCUGGCUUCAGAAGUCUAAACUAUCUCUCAAACUGGAUAAUAAAUUUAUCAGAGGACUCUGUUUAAACGAAUUAUCUUUCAA